rfam:Eubacterium plexicaudatum ASF492 genomic scaffold acLZb-supercont1.11, whole genome shotgun sequence.
UCUAACUGAUAUUCCGAGAAGUGGAAUGACGGGGUAACGCCCCAUACGCACCAGCUUUAUAAAAA